CCACGCAGGGAUGACCAUGGUGGCUAGGGUCUAGCCGAAGCCAUCUCCUAGACAACCUCGAAUACUUGCAGCAGCCCUCAGCUCCCUUUCGUGUGUGUCCCUCUAUUCGUCAACUUCUGGUGAAUGGAUGCUCCAUUGAGGGCGCCUAGGGGGUCAUAUUUAUACCCUUCGGGAGCCUUGGGGCGUGCUCCACCUUCCCUUGCACGAGCUCCUUGCUUGGGACUUAAGCAAACUUGAUUUUCAUAAAAUAUGACUCGCCCAGAAUUUUAUUUUACACAGCCCUUCUUUCCCGACACCAUCUCUCCCAUGUCCGAACUCCAAAUAGGGAAACUCUGCUACCUAAAUUGUUU
rnacentral:lncRNA from 1 species